CCCUCCCCUCGCAGGACCUCCGCUCGCGCUCCUCGCCAGUUCGACCACCGCUGCCCCGCUCUGCAAGGAGGAGGACGCUAGAAGGAGGUGCGGCGACCCUAUUCGAAUCGGGGUGAAGCCAGGGCCGGGAAGGGACAGAGCGACCUACUCAUCAUGCAGUGGGGAGCCAUUGGCCUGCAAGAUGGAGCCGAUGAAGUUGCAGUGGGCUUCAGGAAGGAGGUAAAGAUGGCGGCAUCAUGGUCGACUUGUGACGUGCCUAGGUGCGGAAUGCAUCCUCCCGCGCGGCUACCCGCGCCUGCCUCCUCCUCCGUCCUGCCCCAUCGUGCCAAGGUCGCCGCGGCUCGGAGCAAUUCCUCCCCAGCUCGCGCCUCGCGGACGUCACUGGUGUAAAAGGUUGAAACUAUUCCAAGGAUUUAGUGAUUUGUAUGGAGAUGUAUGCAAAGAAGACAAUGGUUCAUGUGUGUAUACUUGGAUUCACCCCUCCGGUUGCUACAUGUCCCCAGCAAGCAAGUAAUGAUUUGUAUCCUCAAACAGGUCGCUAGCAUCGUGAAUGGUUUAAGGACAAACAUGACUGAUCUGAAGUCAAUGGGAGAUUAGCAGGCGUGUGUAAUAACAAAAUAUCUUCUCAUUGUCCGCUACCUAAAGAAGGUCACAUCUGGAUAUUACAUUUUUCAGUAGACGGGGAUUCAGUUGCAUUAGUUAUACAUGGUGCUGAGAAGGUUAUUGAAAUUUGCCUGAAUGAAGAUCUUGAUUUAUUUUGUGGAAUUUAAGCACUUGUGGGGCUUGCCAAACAUUUAACCAUCCAAUCCAAGUUGCAUUUUGCAAUACCCUUUCCAGCUGUGAUGUCCCUUUUAUCAACCUCAUACUCAGGACAUGAAAAUACCUCAUCUUGUUCUGGAAGUAUGAGUCUUUACCUCCUGAAUCACUUCCUAAUCGGUGGAGAGCGAAUAUGUUUCCAUGAAAAGAUCGUCCGCUAGACUUAAGCAAAGCGUCUGGUUCUGAAAAUGAGAGAGAUGAAGGGAAUAUAAAGUUGUAAUAAGUAAUAAGAACCAGAUCCGAGUCACGUAGGUCUGUGGAUAACCAUAAUGGAAGUGAGGAAACAUCUACUUCAGACUGUUCAGGCUCUCUUUAUUAUUUAACUGAAAAUUGUAAAUAGCUUCUCAAAUUUAAGAUUGAGAUUUUGGAAUCUAAACCCAGGUAAGUAUGUCAUGUCUAGAGAUUCAGUUGUAGUAUAUGUUUCAGUGUCGUGAUAGCUAAGUGGUUGUAGCAUUUUUCGAGCCAUUAAUUUCCAUUUUACCUUUUUAGAGACUGAAUAUUCAGAAACAUUUUCACGUAUUUUCGUUAAGAUGGAAAAUUCACAAAUAGAUACAUGAUUAUAGGCCAAAGCACGUAGGUUCACUCAUCUCAAGCUGCUUGAUAACCUUAUUUUAUUGUUCAUAGGAUGUAUACAUGAUUGUUGGAGAAAUGAGCACACUAAUGGUACAAUCGCUGACGUCAGUGGAAAAAAAAUAUGAACUUGCAUAUGCUCUGUUCUUGUGAGUUUUGGACGAUUUAUGGCCACUCAACUAUUAUACUAUGCUUAUGAGAAGAAACAUAUGGACACAUGCUUCGACCAGGCUAUAUCAACAUUGGGGCAGGGAAAUAGGCUCUUAAGAACUUGAACGGGCUUGGUUUAUUCUCCAACAUAUAGGUGAAUCUGUCCCAUGAUGAAACCAAAGAAGGGGGUGUAUUGGUGGAAGUCAGGCUGAAUGAACAAGAUCCCAAAUCAGUGGACGUGACCACACAAUGGAACAUUGUUCCAUGACCUGGGGACGACCAACUCUUGUAAUGUGCCUACAUAUUCGCAACAUUUUUAAUCUUUCUAACAUCUGUUUCAGAAAAUGCUGGACAAGUUCAUGAUUAAGCUGUGAAGCUAUCCAUUAUUGUUAUCAAAGCCCUGUUGCUGAACCUGAUGUAUUUAUAUCUGAUGCAUGCUUCUGUGUUUUAAACUCAUAUCUGAACUGAUAUAUGAACUCUAAACUGUUACUGAUGAAUGAACUAAGUUCAUGAUUAA